rnacentral:rRNA from 1 species
GAUGAACGCUAGCGGCACGCUUCAUACAUGCAAGUCGAGGGGCAGCAUAAAGUACUUGUACUUUGAUGGCGACCGGCGAACGGGUGCGUAACGCGUAUGCAACUUACCUUUUACUAGAGAAUAGCCAAGGGAAAUUUUGAUUAAUGCUCUAUACUCUUUUUAACUCACAUGAGUUUUUAAGAAAAGCUCCGGCGGUAAAAGAUGGGCAUGCGUCCUAUUAGCUUGUAGGUGAGGUAACGGCUCACCUAAGCUCCGAUAGGUAGGGGUCCUGAGAGGGAGAUCCCCCACACUGGUACUGAGACACGGACCAGACUUCUACGGAAGGCAGCAGUAAGGAAUAUUGGACAAUGGAGGAAACUCUGAUCCAGCGAUGCCGCGUGAAGGAAGACGGCCCUAUGGGUUGUAAACUUCUUUUAUACAGGAAGAAACCUUUCCACGUGUGGAAAGCUGACGGUACUGUAAGAAUAAGGAUCGGCUAACUCCGUG